rnacentral:pre_miRNA from 1 species
UUAGCUCAUAUUUGUAUGGAAUGGGAUCGCUUGUCUACGUUUGCCGCUAGGGGCGCUGUUCCAAGUGCAUACAAAUUUGGGUUA